UACGUAGGGGGCAAGCGUUGUCCGGAUUUACUGGGCGUAAAGAGCGUGUAGGCGGCCAAGCAGGUCCGUUGUGAAAACUGGAGGCUUAACCUCCAGACGUCGACGGAAACCGCGUGGCUAGAGUCCGGAAGAGGAGAGUGGAAUUCCUGGUGUAGCGGUGAAAUGCGUAGAUAUCUGGAGGAACACCGGUGGCGAAGGCGGCAUUCUGGACUGCAACUGACACGUGAAAGACGGAAAGCCAGGGGAGCAAACGGG
rnacentral:rRNA from 1 species